AUUCCCACUGUGCCCCCACAACAGCACCGAAGCACCGAGUUUAUUUCCAGGCAGGCAGUGAGCAGGGCUGAGAAAUUGCCCCAGGCUACAAGCCUCCCAGCUGAGAAAGCAAGCAGACUCACAGUUCCUUGGCUGUCCCAUGCAGCCUGCAGCAGCAAUCCACCCCCUUUAAAGUGUCUGUGGAUUCUUUCAGCUUUUUUGGUUCAAGCAAUUCUCCUGUCUCAGCCUCCCGAGUAGCUGGGAUUACAGUCAUGUGCCCCUGUGUCCAGAAUUGGUUCCUUCUGGUGGGUUCUUGGUCUUGCUGUCUUCAAGAAUGAAGCCGUGGACCCUCGUCAUGAAUGUUACAGUUCUUAAAGAUGAAGAGAACAGCAUCAGGGCACAUUGAGGCUCAGAAAUUUAUAUUCCAAGAAGAGGUGCACAGGAACAGAGCAGAUCCAAAGCAGACAACCACCUGGAAGCAGUCAUAACAACAGCAAUAGCAAAUCAAUGCUGAUAAAAGAAAUCAAGUACAGAGAGUUUUAAGGACAUUGUCCAAAGUUGUACAAGGGCACCAUUUUUAAAAGUUGACAACCUCCUGCAGGGAUGUUCUGAAAGACAGAGACAUCUUGUCGGAAUUAUGAAUGUCCUUGGUGGAUGAGGCAGAAAGAGUUGACUGUGUAGGACAUUCCUGACAAGUCCUCAGGAUUUGAAAUGACUCCAACACUAAGCAUUCACCUGGAGAUAACCUACAGAGAUACUCUGUGUUACCCACAACUAGUCUGUUGACUAAGUUGGUGAAUAUAUUUGGGAAAAGCCCAUGUGGAAGAAUGGAAGCCUGCAUUAUCUUUCUCAGAGACAGACAGGAAGGUGACUCUAUGGAAGACAUCAGCGAUAAACUAGGAAGGAGUGACACGGUAAGUGAAAAUAGAGAUAUGCAGUGUG